GGGCCCGCACAAGCGGUGGAGUAUGUGGUUUAAUUCGAUGCAACGCGAAGAACCUUACCUACUCUUGACAUCCUGCGAAUUUGGUAGAGAUACCUUAGUGCCUUCGGGAACGCAGAGACAGGUGCUGCAUGGCUGUCGUCAGCUCGUGUUGUGAAAUGUUGGGUUAAGUCCCGUAACGAGCGCAACCCUUGUCCUUAUUUGCCAGCGCGUAAUGGCGGGAACUCUAAGGAGACUGCCGGUGACAAACCGGAGGAAGGUGGGGACGACGUCAAGUCAUCAUGGCCCUUACGAGUAGGGCUACACACGUGCUACAAUGGUCGGUACAAAGGGUUGCCAACUCGCGAGAGUGAGCCAAUCCCGAAAAGCCGAUCUCAGUCCGGAUCGGAGUCUGCAACUCGACUCCGUGAAGUCGGAAUCGCUAGUAAUCGCAGGUC
rnacentral:rRNA from 1 species